rnacentral:rRNA from 1 species
CUACGGGGCGCUGCAGUGAGGAAUUUUGCGCAAUGGGGGAAACCCUGACGCAGCAACGCCGCGUGAGUGAUGAAGGCUUUCGAGUCGUAAAGCUCUGUCAAGUGGGAAGAACCUACUAAGUGCCAAUACCACUUAGUACUGACGGUACCACUGAAGGAAGCACCGGCUAACUCCGUGCCAGCAGCCGCGGUAAUACGGGGGGUGCAAGCGUUACUCGGAAUUAUUGGGCGUAAAGGGCGCGCAGGCGGCCAGGUAAGUCAGAUGUGAAAGCCCGGGGCUCAACCCCGGAAGUGCAUUUGAAACUACUUGGCUUGAGUAUGGGAGAGGGAAGUGGAAUUCCUGGUGUAGAGGUGAAAUUCGUAGAUAUCAGGAGGAACACCGGUGGCGAAGGCGACUUCCUGGACCAAUACUGACGCUGAGGCGCGAAGGCGUGGGUAGCAAACAGGAUUAGAUACCCCAGUAGUC